rnacentral:rRNA from 1 species
GAUUAAGUUAUUAAGGGCGCACGGUGGAUGCCUUGGCACUAGAAGCCGAUGAAGGACGUUACUAACGACGAUAUGCUUUGGGGAGCUGUAAGUAAGCUUUGAUCCAGAGAUUUCCGAAUGGGGAAACCCAGCAUGAGUUAUGUCAUGUUAUCGAUAUGUGAAUACAUAGCAUAUCAGAAGGCACACCCGGAGAACUGAAACAUCUUAGUACCCGGAGGAAGAGAAAGAAAAUUCGAUUCCCUUAGUAGCGGCGAGCGAAACGGGAAGAGCCCAAACCAACAAGCUUGCUUGUUGGGGUUGUAGGACACUCUAUACGGAGUUACAAAGGACGACAUUAGACGAAUCAUCUGGAAAGAUGAAUCAAAGAAGGUAAUAAUCCUGUAGUCGAAAAUGUUGUCUCUCUUGAGUGGAUCCUGAGUACGACGGAGCACGUGAAAUUCCGUCGGAAUCUGGGAGGACCAUCUCCUAAGGCUAAAUACUCUCUAGUGACCGAUAGCGAACCAGUACCGUGAGGGAAAGGUGAAAAGCACCCCGGAAGGGGAGUGAAAUAGAACCUGAAACCGUGUGCUUACAAGUAGUCAGAGCCCGUUAAUGGGUGAUGGCGUGCCUUUUGUAGAAUGAACCGGCGAGUUACGAUUUGAUGCAAGGUUAAGCAGUAAAUGUGGAGCCGUAGCGAAAGCGAGUCUGAAUAGGGCGUUUAGUAUUUGGUCGUAGACCCGAAACCAGGUGAUCUACCCUUGGUCAGGUUGAAGUUCAGGUAACACUGAAUGGAGGACCGAACCGACUUACGUUGAAAAGUGAGCGGAUGAACUGAGGGUAGCGGAGAAAUUCCAAUCGAACCUGGAGAUAGCUGGUUCUCUCCGAAAUAGCUUUAGGGCUAGCCUCAAGUGAUGAUUAUUGGAGGUAGAGCACUGUUUGGACGAGGGGCCCCUCUCGGGUUACCGAAUUCAGACAAACUCCGAAUGCCAAUUAAUUUAACUUGGGAGUCAGAACAUGGGUGAUAAGGUCCGUGUUCGAAAGGGAAACAGCCCAGACCACCAGCUAAGGUCCCAAAAUAUAUGUUAAGUGGAAAAGGAUGUGGCGUUGCCCAGACAACUAGGAUGUUGGCUUAGAAGCAGCCAUCAUUUAAAGAGUGCGUAAUAGCUCACUAGUCGAGUGACACUGCGCCGAAAAUGUACCGGGGCUAAACAUAUUACCGAAGCUGUGGAUUGUCCUUUGGACAAUGGUAGGAGAGCGUUCUAAGGGCGUUGAAGCAUGAUCGUAAGGACAUGUGGAGCGCUUAGAAGUGAGAAUGCCGGUGUGAGUAGCGAAAGACGGGUGAGAAUCCCGUCCACCGAUUGACUAAGGUUUCCAGAGGAAGGCUCGUCCGCUCUGGGUUAGUCGGGUCCUAAGCUGAGGCCGACAGGCGUAGGCGAUGGAUAACAGGUUGAUAUUCCUGUACCACCUAUAAUCGUUUUAAUCGAUGGGGGGACGCAGUAGGAUAGGCGAAGCGUGCGAUUGGAUUGCACGUCUAAGCAGUAAGGCUGAGUAUUAGGCAAAUCCGGUACUCAUUAAGGCUGAGCUGUGAUGGGGAGAAGACAUUGUGUCUUCGAGUCGUUGAUUUCACACUGCCGAGAAAAGCCUCUAGAUAGAAAAUAGGUGCCCGUACCGCAAACCGACACAGGUAGUCAAGAUGAGAAUUCUAAGGUGAGCGAGCGAACUCUCGUUAAGGAACUCGGCAAAAUGACCCCGUAACUUCGGGAGAAGGGGUGCUCUUUAGGGUUAACGCCCAGAAGAGCCGCAGUGAAUAGGCCCAAGCGACUGUUUAUCAAAAACACAGGUCUCUGCUAAACCGUAAGGUGAUGUAUAGGGGCUGACGCCUGCCCGGUGCUGGAAGGUUAAGAGGAGUGGUUAGCUUCUGCGAAGCUACGAAUCGAAGCCCCAGUAAACGGCGGCCGUAACUAUAACGGUCCUAAGGUAGCGAAAUUCCUUGUCGGGUAAGUUCCGACCCGCACGAAAGGCGUAACGAUUUGGGCACUGUCUCAACGAGAGACUCGGUGAAAUCAUAGUACCUGUGAAGAUGCAGGUUACCCGCGACAGGACGGAAAGACCCCGUGGAGCUUUACUGUAGCCUGAUAUUGAAAUUCGGCACAGCUUGUACAGGAUAGGUAGGAGCCUUUGAAACGUGAGCGCUAGCUUACGUGGAGGCGCUGGUGGGAUACUACCCUAGCUGUGUUGGCUUUCUAACCCGCACCACUUAUCGUGGUGGGAGACAGUGUCAGGCGGGCAGUUUGACUGGGGCGGUCGCCUCCUAAAAGGUAACGGAGGCGCUCAAAGGUUCCCUCAGAAUGGUUGGAAAUCAUUCAUAGAGUGUAAAGGCAUAAGGGAGCUUGACUGCGAGACCUACAAGUCGAGCAGGGUCGAAAGACGGACUUAGUGAUCCGGUGGUUCCGCAUGGAAGGGCCAUCGCUCAACGGAUAAAAGCUACCCCGGGGAUAACAGGCUUAUCUCCCCCAAGAGUUCACAUCGACGGGGAGGUUUGGCACCUCGAUGUCGGCUCAUCGCAUCCUGGGGCUGUAGUCGGUCCCAAGGGUUGGGCUGUUCGCCCAUUAAAGCGGUACGCGAGCUGGGUUCAGAACGUCGUGAGACAGUUCGGUCCCUAUCCGUCGUGGGCGUAGGAAAUUUGAGAGGAGCUGUCCUUAGUACGAGAGGACCGGGAUGGACAUACCUCUGGUGUACCAGUUGUCGUGCCAACGGCAUAGCUGGGUAGCUAUGUGUGGACGGGAUAAGUGCUGAAAGCAUCUAAGCAUGAAGCCCCCCUCAAGAUGAGAUUUCCCAACUUCGGUUAUAAGAUC